rnacentral:rRNA from 2 species
AGUUUGAUCCUGGCUCAGGACGAACGCUGGCGGCGUGCCUAAUACAUGCAAGUCGAGCGGAUUGAUGGGAGCUUGCUCCCUGAUAUCAGCGGCGGACGGGUGAGUAACACGUGGGUAACCUGCCUGUAAGACUGGGAUAACUCCGGGAAACCGGGGCUAAUACCGGAUAACUCAUUUCCUCGCAUGAGGAAAUGUUGAAAGAUGGCUUCUUGCUAUCACUUACAGAUGGACCCGCGGCGCAUUAGCUAGUUGGUGAGGUAACGGCUCACCAAGGCAACGAUGCGUAGCCGACCUGAGAGGGUGAUCGGCCACACUGGGACUGAGACACGGCCCAGACUCCUACGGGAGGCAGCAGUAGGGAAUCUUCCGCAAUGGACGAAAGUCUGACGGAGCAACGCCGCGUGAGUGAUGAAGGUUUUCGGAUCGUAAAGCUCUGUUGUUAGGGAAGAACAAGUGCCGUUCGAAUAGGGCGGCACCUUGACGGUACCUAACCAGAAAGCCACGGCUAACUACGUGCCAGC